UAAUUUAUAUGUAAUUAGUUAAAUU
rnacentral:tRNA from 3 species